CCUUCGGGAGCUUGCACAGGUGCUGCAUGGCUGUCGUCAGCUCGUGUCGUGAGAUGUUCGGUUAAGUCCGCUAACGAGCGCAACCCUCGUCGUAUGUUAUAUGUGUCAUACGAGACUGCCGGUAAAAAGCCGGAGGAAGGUGAGGAUGAUGUCAAGUCAGCAUGACCUUUAUAUCCAGGGCUACACACACGCUACAAUGGUCUGUACAAUGGGUAGCCAAGCCGCGAGGCGGAGCCAAUCCUGAAAGCAGGCCUCAGUUCAGAUUGCAGUCUGCAACUCGACUGCAUGAAGCCGGAGUUGCUAGUAACCGCAGGUCAGCAAUACUGCGGUGAAUACGUUCCCGGGUCUU
rnacentral:rRNA from 1 species